UUUACCAACUCCUGCUCUUGCCCCCAUUGUUUUCGCACCUCUGAAUGUGGGUAAGCCCCAAGGCGACCUUUUUAGUUCCCGCAUUCAAGUUGGCCCUAGUGAGCUCCCGGUGCCAACCGAGGAAGGUGGGGAGGCGUCAGAUAUCAUCCCCUUAUGCCCUGGGUCCCCGUGCUACAAUGGCGUACAGAGUGGCAAACUCGCGAGAGUAAGCUAAUCUCUUAAAGCCGUUCUCAGUUGGAUGUAGGUGCAACUCCCUACGAAGUCGGAAUCGCUAGUAAUCGCGGAUCAGCAUGCCGCGGUGAAUACGUUCCCGGGCCUUGUACACACCGCCGUCACACCAUGGGAGUUUGUAACGCCCAAAGUCGGUGCCUACCUUUAUGGAGGGAGGCCCUAAGGCGGGACAGUGACUGGGGUGAAGUCGUAACAAGGUUACCAAUC
rnacentral:rRNA from 1 species